AGUUAAAAGUUUAAAACAAUAUGUCUUGAAAACAUAAAAAAAAAUUAAAAAUUUUAUUAACUU
rnacentral:tRNA from 1 species